AGCAUCCGUAGCCGGCUGCUCAAGUUUCCGGUUAAAUCCACACGCUUAACGUAUGGGCUGCCGGAAAUACUGUUCAGCUAGGGAGUGGGAGAGGUAGACGGUACUCGAUAGGAAGGGGUAAAAUCCUUUGAUCUAUUGAUGACCACCUGUGGCGAAGGCGGUCUACCAGAACACGUUCGACGGUGAGGGAUGAAAGCUGGGGGAGCAACCCGGAUUAGAUACCCGGGUAGUCCCAGCUGUAAACGAUGCAGACUCGGUGAUGCAUUGGCUUAUGGCCAGUGCAGUGCCGCAGGGAAGCCGUUAAGUUUGCCGCCUGGGAAGUGCGUACGCAAGUAUGAAACUUAAAGGAAUUGGCGGGGGAGCACAAGCCG
rnacentral:rRNA from 2 species